rnacentral:rRNA from 1 species
UACGAAGGGGGCUAGCGUUGCUCGGAAUCACUGGGCGUAAAGGGCGUGUAGGCGGACGUGUAAGUCUAUUCUGAAAGCUCCUGGCUAAACUGGGAGAGGCGAAUGGAGACUGCAUAUCUAGAGUGAGGAAGAGGAAAGUGGAAUUCCGCGUGUAGUGGUGAAAUGCGUAGAUAUCAGGAGGAACACCCGUGGCGAAGGCGGCUUCCUGGGGCCAUCCUGACACUGAGAAGCGAAAGCUAGGGGAGCGAACGGG